UACGGAGGGUGCAAGCGUUGUCCGGAUUUACUUGUGUUAAAGGGUGCGUAGGCGGAUUAUUAAGUCAGUGGUGAAAGCCGACAGCUCAACUGUCGAACCGCCAUUGAUACUGGUAAUCUUGAGUAUAGUGGAGGCAGGCGGAAUUUACGAUGUAGCGGUGAAAUGCAUAGAUAUCGUAAAGAACACCUAUAGCGAAGGCAGCUUGCUAAACUAUAACUGACGAUGAGGCACGAAAGCAUGGGGAGCGAACAGG
rnacentral:misc_RNA from 1 species